GUGCUUGCUUUGGCAGCAUAUAUACUAAAAUUGGAACAAUACAGAGAAGAUCAGCAUGGCCCCUGUGCAAGGAUGACAUGCAUAUUCAUGAAGUGUUAAAAAAUUUU
ensembl:snRNA U6 U6 spliceosomal RNA